GCACAAAUGCAAUAGGGAACAACAAGAUGACCAGUCCAGGGGCUGGAGAGGCAGGGGGCGGUCUGGACACCCCCACAGUGGUGUUCAUCACCCUUGGCAUUUUCUUUUGCCUCAUCGUCCUUGGUCUAAUUUUCUUGUGCGUGAGGAGAAGGUACUCUCCCCUGGGGCCUCACUACUUUUGCAUCCUUCACAAGACCACCUGCAAGAGGGCCGGUGACAACGAUGUGACUUCUGCUUAAAGGCGUCUCAAACCCGCGCACGGGAGACGCUGUGAGGAGGAGAGGUGCAAGGCUGAGUCUCUUUUUUUUGUCGAUGUUCAUGCACCCAAGCAAUGGAGAGGAGGGGAGGGAGCGAAUGGCCUUGUCCUUGUACCUCGUCUCCUAACAGCGGUAAGGGGGCUGGGCUCCCCGCUUGCCUUUUAAUUAUUUCCCUGUUUUCUGUCCCCUUGACAAGGAGGCCGGGUCACAUGCAGGCACUUGGAUCACUCCUGUGCUGGAGGCCCCGCACUGGCUUCCAGUUAAGUCUUUGAUCCUUCUGCUGGUGUACAGGGGCAGAGGGGAACUGGCGUCCACGCAGCUGAUUGGUAAAUGAACCAGACUUUGCGCUUCAGAGAGGAGGUGCUAUUACUAGUUAAUGAUGAGACAGACGAGUUUUGAUAGUAUGAUCAAGGCCAAGUAAGGUGAGACUGGAGAGCUGGACAGUCCAGUUUCUGGUGAAUAUUUAUAUCCCCCAUUAUAUUUGCAUGAAUGAAGAUUAUAUAUAUAGAUAUACAUUUAAUUUCCUAAUAUAUAUAGUGCAUAUUUGCACACUAUAAUGCAUAGACUUUAUACAAAGCAUCACGUGAAGUGAUGUUAAAUAAAAAUUAUUAGAAAUAAUAAACUAUUUUAUAUAGCACUUUUAAAAGUUCCAUUUAAAAGCUAUUUAUGGUAGGGGUAAAAUAACAGUUAAAACAAAAGAGAACGGUUAUAAUCAGAAAUGACAAAAUAAGCACAAAUAAAAAAACACACAGUUAUAGAAAUGCUCCAGAAGAUACAAGGUCACGCGAGAAUGAAGCAGACGGAGACACUAAUUGAGUAAAUGCCUUUUUGUGGCCAUGUGACAUUUUUCACCUAGCACCAGCAGAGGGAGGUGUCUGAUUGCCUGCAAGGUGAGCCCUGUGCCUCUGGUUUCUCAUGCUGUUUUCUGUAACGCUGGGGUGACAGUGUGCACGCCCCCCUCCCCCUCUUUUUAAAAAAAAAUGAUGUCCCAGGGUGUGCAGCUCUGAUCCUGGGGGGGGCGCUGUGUCUGCAGUGCUGGGAUGGGCCGUCACUCGGGCCCUGUUCGUCCAGCAGCGAGCUGGCUGAGCUGGCCGAGGUUGUGAAGAGCUGAAUCGCCAGCACUCCAGGACCAGAACUGGACCGGGCUGCCCUGCCAGUUCUGUUUCUGAUGCCUGGGGCUGGCGUGGGUGAGAGAGAGAGCACCAGGAGACAUUGUUGCAGAAAAACGAAGGAGCGAGAGAUUUUGAACUAGUCACACACUUGAGAUGCUGCCUUGUAUCUGGGGAACAUCGCCUUCUUGUUCUAAAAUAUCACCGGAACACUACAACUUCACUAUAACUGACGUGAAGUGAGUUAAUGCAGCAUGUAGUCCCACAGGAACUGAUUGAUUGAUUAGAGCUUUGAUUGGAUUCCCCCUGUUAAAGCCUUCCUGCCUGUGCCACACAAGUGGGGAUGGUGGCCUAAUUCCUGUUCAUAUAAACUGACUGCUGAAGUCAGGCCUUUUCUUCACAAUCCUGGACGUUUCUUCUGUUAUUAUUAUUAUUAUUAUUAUUAUUAUUAUUAUUAUUAUUAUUAUUAUUAUUAUUAUAAUAAGCUGUUUAGUGUGCACAUGUGCAAAGACUCGAUACUUUAACCAGACCCACAGAGUUGGAAUCGGAUCUCCAGCAGUUUGCUCUCGCCCUGGGCCUGGCACCAGUGUCAUUGGCCCAUUCCUGCUUCCUGCUGUAGAGCCCAGCUGGAGGAGGCGCUCCGGAAAGUUGUUUUACUGGGGCGCAGUUUUGUGAUGAUAGUUGCAGGAGAGCCCUCAUGGGUGAGUGCACCUCCGUGUCUGUUUGGGGGAGUCAGCUCUGUGUGGGUGGGUGUAUAAAUGUCUUCAGAGGGCGGAGCGGUGGCUCUGUGGCUCAGGAUCUGCGCCUGUGGCUGGAAGGUUGCCGGUUCGUAUCCCGCGGCCG